rnacentral:rRNA from 1 species
AUGGACGCAAGUCUGAUGGAGCAACGCCGCGUGAGUGAAGAAGGUCUUCGGAUCGUAAAGCUCUGUUGUUGGUGAAGAAGGAUAGAGGCAGUAACUGGUCUUUAUUUGACGGUAAUCAACCAGAAAGUCACGGCUAACUACGUGCCAGCAGCCGCGGUAAU